UUUAUGGGUACAGGAUGGGGAGUGUGGUGGGCCAGGGUGGUCUUGGAAAAGGCAACAGCUGGGGGCAAAAACAGGAAUGCCCAUUCCCAUUUAAGGCCUCAGGUGUCCAGGCUUGAGGGUGGGGCCUUUGCUGGGGAACCGCCCUCUACUACCCGGUAUUUCCUUGCCUCCUGUCCAUAUCAGUAGUACGAGUGAAGUGAGACCUUCCUGGGCAAACCCAGACAUCUGGUCCCCAGGGUUAGCUCUGGCUCCCCUGAGCAGCACCAAAGAGCAUGGAGAUGCUCAGCAUGUGGCAGUUGGAGAGAACAGCAUCACCCUUUGUUGGCUCCUGGUUCUAGUGCCUAAUUGUGUUCUAGAUCUCAACAGGGCAUGGCCAGUGGGGAUUAAAACAGGACAGAAUAUUCUCCUUUUUGCUAUUUCCGUUUUUUUAAAGGUUACAUUCUCAAUACUCUAGUAGUCUAGCCUAUCAGAUCUCUUGUGUGAAUUUGAAAGUUAGAUUGCAAAAUUUCAAUCUCACACAUUUUUUUCCAUUUUAAUUUUAAUUUAGGCAGUGAAACCUAGCUUAAAAUUAGAGUAGUUUUUGUUUCUUAUGGGAGAUGGCAUAGCCCUUAGAUUAUUCACUGUCUCUUUCUGAAGAAUUUAACGCAAACAUGGAUAUCAGACCAAAUCAUACAAUUUAUAUCAACAAUAUGAAUGACAAAAUUAAAAAGGAAGAAUUGAAGAGAUUCCUAUAUGCCCUGUUUUCUCAGUUUGGUCAUGUGGUGGACUUUGUGGCUUUAAAGACCAUGAAGAUGAGGGGCAGGCCUUUGUCAUAUUUAAGGAACUGGGCUCAUCCACAAAUGCUUAGAGACAGUUACGAGGAUUUCCAUUUUAUGGUAAACCAAUCCGAAUACAUAUGCAGAAACAGAUUCGGAUAUAAUAUCUGAAAUGUGUGGCACUUUUGCUGACAAAGAAAAGAAAAAAGCCAAAACUGUGGAACAGACUGCAACAACCACAAACAAAAUGCCUGGCUAGGGAACUCCAAAUUCAGCUAAUACCCAAGGAAAUUCAACACCAAAUCCUCAGGUCCUCGAUUGUCCUCCAAACUAUAUUUUAUUCCUUAAUAACUUAACAGAAGAGACUAAUGAGAUGAUGUUAUCUAUGCUGUUUAAUCAGUUCCCUGGCUUCAAGGAAGUACGUCUAGUACCAGGGAGGCAUGACAUUGCUUUUGUUGAAUUUGAAAAUGAUGGGCCAGCUGGAACUGCCAGGGAUGCUUUACAGGGAUUUAAGAUUACAACAUCCCAUGCUAUGAAGAUCACCUAUGCCAAGAAAUAACAUUUGGGAUAGUCAUCUUUAAAGGACUUGGUGUUAUUUAUAGUGUUUGUUUUGCUAACAUUUGGUUGGGUCAUUGUAAUAGAGAUUAGGGGAA